rnacentral:tRNA from 1 species
UGUAGCUCAAUGUUAGAGCACUUGCCUCUUACCAUGCAAUAGUCCCUGGGUUCAAUCCCCAGUA